GUAAUCGUGGCCGAGUGGUUAAGGUGAUGGACUAGAAAUCCAAUGGGAUCUACCCACGUAGGUUCGAAUCCUACCCACUAUG